GACGAACCGAGCGAACGUUAUUCGGAAUCACUGGGCUUAAAGGGCGCGUAGGCGGGCCGCCAAGUCAGGGGUGAAAGCCCCCAGCUCAACUGGGGAAGUGCCUUUGAUACUGGCGGUCUCGAGGGGGAUAGGGGCGUGCGGAACUUCCGGUGGAGCGGUGAAAUGCGUAGAUAUCGGAAGGAACACCGGUGGCGAAAGCGGCGCGCUGGGCAUUACCUGACGCUGAGGAGCGAAAGUGUGGGGAGCGAACAGG
rnacentral:rRNA from 1 species